AUGGCUGAAGAGCUGAGCACCCUGAUGAAGGCCUCGGUCCUGAUGUGGCAUCCCGGGUGGGUGCAGGAGAUUGUCGGUGCCCUCCACAGGGGCAGGGGAGACCAGUUACAGGUGAUUUCUGAUUUUGACACGACCUUAAGAAUGUUUGCAUAUAAUGGGAAGCUCCUUCUUCUCACAAUAUUCUGGACAACAGCAAGAUCAUCAGCCAUGAUUGUAGGAAAGAGCUCAUGGAGCUCCUUCACCACUACUACCCAAUUGAGAUUGACCCCCACUGGACCAUCAAGGAGAAGCUACCACAUAUGGUGGAGUGGUGGACCAAAGCACACAAUCUCCUGUGUCAGCAGAAGAUCCAGAAGUUUCAGAUAGCCCAAGUGGUUAGAGAGUCCAGUGCAAUGCUCAGGGAGGGAUACAAGACAUUCUUCAACACACUUUAUCAGAACAACAUUCCCCUUUUCAUCUUCUCAGCGGGCACUGGUGAUAUCCUGGAAGAAAUUAUCCGACUGAUGAAAGUAUUCCGCCCCAACAUCCACAUCGUGUCUAACUACAUGGAUUUUAAUGAAGAUGGUUUCCUACAGGGAUUUAAGGGCCAACUCAUAUACACAUACAAUAAGAACAGCUCUGUGUGUGAGAACUCCAGUUACUUCCAGCAGCUUUAGGGCAAAACCAACAUCAUCCUGCUUGGAGACUCCAUGGGGGACCUCACUAUGGCCGAUGGGGUUCCAGGUGUGCAGAACAUUCUGAAGAUCGGCUUCCUAAAUGACAAGGUGGAGGAACGGCAGGACCGCUACAUGGAGUCCUAUGACAUUGUGCUGGAGAAAGAUGAGACGCUGGAUGUGGUCAACAGGCUGCUGCAACACAUCCUGCACCAGGUGGAGAUACAGGGCUUGUGAGGAUGCAGGCUCAGGCCAGGCCCUGCAAGCCAAGAUGAGGAGGGGCCACCAAUUUGGUCAGCUGUUUUUCUGUGAGCACAGAGAAAAGUUUAGGGUGGCCAAGACUGGGCUCUUCCAUGCCCCUCCCUCCUCCUCUCUCCUGCUGCCUUCAUCACUGGAGGCUUAAGGGAGGCCCUGCCCGGCACACAAGCACCAUUCCUGCUGAACUGUUGACCAUGGCAUGUUAGUGCUG